AUGGCCAAGAUGGCUAUAGAAUUAAAAGCCGUCGUCGACCGUUUCCGGGUUCUUGAAAAGGAAAACCAAGCGAAGGCAUCGGACCUUGAGAAGGUUGCUGCGACGAAAAAGGAUCUCCGCUCUGCUAUGAGGGCAAAGAAGGAGGAGCUGCGGGAAGUCGGGGAUAUUGUAGCUGGGAAAUCCUUUAUGUUGCGGAGGAAAUUCGGAGAUCCACGGUAUGCCCCUCUGGAUUGGCUGUGGAGUUCGGAGGAUGUGUAUAUGGAUUUGGCAGCGAGCGCUGCCGAUGCGGCCAAGUACUUCCAGGGUCAGACGGACCAUGGAGUAGACCAGCUGUUUUGGAGAUAA
rnacentral:rRNA from 1 species